rnacentral:lncRNA from 1 species
UCGCAUUCACCCGCACCGCCGACUUCCUCGCCGAGCUCCAGUCCUACGUCCGCGACGACGACGGCGCCGUCAUCCUCAAGAUGGUCGGCGGGCUCGGCACCGCCAUCUUCGUCCUCGAGUGGGCCGCCCUCGCGCUCGCCUUCUCCCUGCGCCUCGACGACGCCGAGGACGACGAUGGCGACGACGACCUCCGCCGCGCCAAGAACUGGGCCGACGCCUACCAUGUCUGAGCGGCGAGCCUCCGCGCUUCCUGCAUCUUCGCCCGGUGUGGGGAGCGGCGCCUCCAUCCAAGAUGUUGUCGAUUUGGUGUUAUUGCUGUUGCUAUUCUUUUGUGCUACUAGUACUGUGAUAUCACAUUCUUUUGUACUAUGAUAUGAUGUCAAGGCAAAUGUAUAUUGCUUUUGACCCCAUUUAAUCGAAGAAAUAUAUUUAUAUUGCUUUGGAUUUGGGUACUUGAUUUAUGCAGCCAAUUCAGUACUACAACCUGGGAAAACU